rnacentral:tRNA from 4 species
AGCCUUGUGGUGUUUGGCACGUCAGAUUGCAAAUCUGAAGGAGCAGACUAAUUACCUGCCGGGGCUU